rnacentral:rRNA from 1 species
GACGAACGCUGGCGGCGUGCUUAACACAUGCAAGUCGAACGAAGAGCGAUGGAGGCUUGCUUCUAUCAAUCUGAGUGGCGCACGGGUGAGUAACGCGUAAUCAACCUGUACUUCAGUGGGGGACAACAGUGGGAAACGACCGCUAAUACCGCAUACGAUCUAAUCUCGGCAUCGAGGAGAGAUGAAAGGUGGCCUCGACAUGUAAGCUAUCACUGAAGGUGGGGAUUGCGUCUGGUUAGCUAGCUGGUGGGGUAACGGCCCACCAAAGCGAUGAUGAGUAGCCCGACUGAGAGGAUGGACCGCCAACUUGGGACGGGGACACCGCCCAGACUUCCUCGGGGGGGAGCCAGUGGGGAACUUCCGGAAUGGGGGGAAGGCUGACGGGGCAACGCCGGGGGGGGUGUGAAGGGCUUCGGGUUCGAAAGAUCUUUUUAUCGGGACGAAAGGCCUGUUUGCGAAUAGUGAGAAGGAUUGACGGUACCGGAUCAGAAAGCCACGGCUAACUACGUG